rnacentral:misc_RNA from 1 species
GAUGAAGAACGCAGUGAAAUGCGAUAAGUAAUGUGAAUUGCAGAAUUCAGUGAAUCAUCGAAUCUUUGAACGCACAUUGCGCCAGCCAGUAUUCUGGCGGGCAUGCCUGUUCGAGCGUCAUUUCAACCCUCAGGCCCCGCCUGGCGUUGGGGAUCGGCGCGGCCCUCUCCGGGCUGCCGGCCCCGAAAACUAGUGGCGGUCUCGCUGUAGUCCUCCUCUGCGCAGUAGCAACGCUCGCACUGGAACUCGGCGCGGCCACGCCGUAAAACACCCCACUUCUGAAAGUUGACCUCGGAUCAGGUAGGAAUACCCGCUGAACUUAAGCAUAUCAAUAAGCGGAGGA